rnacentral:rRNA from 1 species
AAACUAACAAGGAUUCCCCUAGUAGCGGCGAGCGAAGCGGGAAGAGCUCAAAUUUAUAAUCUGGCACCUUCGGUGUCCGAGUUGUAAUCUCUAGAAAUGUUUUCCGCGUUGGACCGCACACAAGUCUGUUGGAAUACAGCGGCAUAGUGGUGAGACCCCCGUAUAUGGUGCGGACGCCCAGCGCUUUGUGAUACAUUUUCGAAGAGUCGAGUUGUUUGGGAAUGCAGCUCAAAUUGGGUGGUAAAUUCCAUCUAAAGCUAAAUAUUGGCGAGAGACCGAUAGCGAACAAGUACCGUGAGGGAAAGAUGAAAAGCACUUUGGAAAGAGAGUUAACAGUACGUGAAAUUGUUGGAAGGGAAACGCUUGAAGUCAGACUUGCUUGCCGAGCAAUCGGUUUGCAGGCCAGCAUCAGUUUUCCGGGAUGGAUAAUGGUAGAGAGAAGGUAGCAGUUUCGGCUGUGUUAUAGCUCUCUGCUGGAUACAUCUUGGGGGACUGAGGAACGCAGUGUGCCUUUGGCGGGGGUUUCGACCUCUUCACACUUAGGAUGCUGGUGGAAUGGCUUUAAACGACCCGUCUUGAAACA